AUGGAAGGGUCGCAACUCUCUCUCUCUAUAGCUCUGGACCGUACUACACAGUCAAGUGUAGUAUGGUCAAGUAGUAGACACUGGACAGAAAUAGUAUGUACUAAGUAUUCGGAUGCAGCCGGUUGUUUACAGGAGCUGCCGACAAUAAAUAUCACAGAUGUGCAUCGUUUAUGUCGGGAAACCAAAACUCAGACAAGCAAAUUGGAGAAGGGGUUUAGGCUGUAUGCUUCGACCUACAUUCACAGCUACGAAGAUCAAGCUUUGUGAUUCAUCAGCCAAGGGAUGAUAAAAAGAAAGAGUUAAUCUAUGGGCUGGAGCAGCUGUCUCUGAGAGGAAAAGAAAAAAAGUAUAGCUCAAAAACAACAAAUACAAAUGCAAUGGCAUCAGUAUAAUUACAUCUGUAACUACUUAUAAAGUACUGUUGAUGCACGUGCAGGUGCGACCACUUCUUUUUUCUGGGCAGCUGAUUUGGCUCGGGAAACACGGACCAUCUUGUAGAGACAAGGCUCAAUCAAAGACCAAAAAGCUAUCAGAUGGUUGUAGCUGGCAAAUCUAUUCACAAAAGACGUUGCAUAAAAAUGUUCAAUUAGAAGUGUACAUCAAAAGUAUACAUUGUUACCAAAAUAAUGUCAACAGUAACUACUAAGAUUAAGAUUUUAUCGUGUAUAUAUAAUAUAUAUAUAUAUAUAUAUAUGUAGCAGGGUGACCUGUAUUUCUCCCAUAUAUCUGUUUCAGCCUCAGUCACCUCCCUUUUACCUGUAUUGUGACUUAUGCCACUACGCAACGGUUGCUCUACCGGAUGGUGUCGUAACUAAUCCCUGGCACUCCGCUGACAGGUUUGUUUAGUUUCCUCUUUGGGUGCAAUUCAAUAACUGCCCCAACUUCCUGUAAGACAACCUGAUGUGUGUGGAUAUCCAAUGCCCUAAUGUGUUCUCUGUGUUCUCUUUUUAGAGUAGUGUUCCUGUCCGGGCCGUAUCUUUGGGAGGCGCGGUUUGGUGGUUUGCCGUGUACUUGCAUGUAGAUAAGUAGGGUGUUACCUGCUCAAUUCAUACAUUUUUACAAUUGUUUAUUAAUAGUAUUUUGUUCUAGGACCAGCAUUGGUGGAGUUGGAGACGGUCACAUUCUGGCGUUGGCGCUUCAGUGCUCCUAUUUUCAUCUCAUAGAAUAAUAACAUGACUUUUUUCAACCAUUUAAAAAUAAACUUUGUAGACUUGAACUGGAAACACGUCUCUGUAAGUCUUUACACAAAUCUGUAUUAUAAAUGUUGUUUGUUUUUGUACUAUUGGUGCGGUCACAUUCAUAUAUAUAAAUUCUGAUAAGACAUGGACAUCCCCAACUCCAAUUACACCAUCUCUCAACAUGUCACUACUUGUGUGCUAGUAAUCAUUCACAUAGACCUAUUAAAAAAAUAAUUUGGUACAGUACUAUAAAUUAAUCUGUAACGUAAAGCUAUUUUCUAACCAACAAUGUCCCUGACUGACACAUAUCCCCGUCACGUAGGGACUAGGCUAAUAACAGACUAAUACAAAAAAUGUGACUGUGAAAAAGUGACUUCGCUUGCGUAAAUUCAGAUGUCUGCGUCGGAGCCAGCAAACCGCUGCAGUCCAAACUCUCGCUGGAGACGUAACUCCUGUAGCUCCUUUCUCAGCUCCUGUACUUCAUUUGAGACGCUUUCAACAGCGGAUGCGGACAUAUCCAUGGCAGUCGUUUCAGAAACAGAGCAGUAGUCUUGAUCGUUGAAAAGGAGAUCAACUUCAUCUUCCGGAGGUGCAGUUUCGACGAACCGAUCCACUCUCUCCCACACGCCGCGCCUUGGGGUUUCGACUGUAUACUGGUUCCACUCAAAAAGGGUCGCUACGGCACCUUUUGUAAGUCUCCUUCGACCCUGAAGAGUAAUUGGCUCAAUCAUCUUGUCAGAACUAAAGUGUCUGCUACAGACCUUAGAGUGAGUGGUGAUGACAUAUUUAUCCCGGCUUAUGUUUACAAUCCAUUGACUCCUCACGUCAGUUUGGCUUGGAAAACCAUGGAAACUAAAUACCCCUUUGGAUUUGGCUGAUGCUAUACAGUGAGGGACACAGCAGUGAUCGUAGGUUUCUCCUGCCUAUAAAAACGAACCGUUUUUAAAUGUUUGCGGCCUUGAUUCAUGUCUAAAGUAUAUCAACGUCAGCUGGCUGGCGCGAUAAACACACAGACCGGAACCGGCCGAGGUGUAUUAUUUGAAACAGGAAGUACGUCACACAGCUUAGUGCAUACACCCUAUUCGCCUUAUUCAGCUCUAGACAAUGGGCGCUGCCAUGACACCGACUCCAGUUUCUUACUUCCGGUUUGAG
rnacentral:lncRNA from 1 species